rnacentral:rRNA from 1 species
GAUGAACGCUAGCGGCAGGCUUAAUACAUGCAAGUCGAACGGUAACAGGUCUUCGGACGCUGACGAGUGGCGCACGGGUGAGGAACACGUACACAAUCUACCUUAUACUGGAGAAUAGCCCCGGGAAACUGGGAUUAAUACUCCAUAGUCUUUAAUGAUCACAUGAGAAAUAAAGUAAAGACUUCGGCGGUAUAAGAUGAGUGUGCGUCCCAUUAGAUUGUUGGUGAGGUAACGGCUCACCAAGUCGACGAUGGGUAGCUGGCGUGAGAGCGCGACCAGCCACACUGGCACUGAGACACGGGCCAGACUCCUACGGGAGGCAGCAGUAGGGAAUAUUGGUCAAUGGACGAAAGUACUGAACCAGCCAUGCCGCGUGGAGGAUGACU